AUUGAACGCUGGCGGCAGGCCUAACACAUGCAAGUCGAGCGGCAGCGGGAAAGUAGCUUGCUACUUUUGCCGGCGAGCGGCGGACGGGUGAGUAAUGCCUGGGAAAUUGCCCAGUCGAGGGGGAUAACAGUUGGAAACGACUGCUAAUACCGCAUACGCCCUACGGGGGAAAGCAGGGGACCUUCGGGCCUUGCGCGAUUGGAUAUGCCCAGGUGGGAUUAGCUAGUUGGUGAGGUAAUGGCUCACCAAGGCGACGAUCCCUAGCUGGUUUGAGAGGAUGAUCAGCCACACUGGAAAUGAGACACGGUCCAGACUCCUACGGGAGGCAGCAGUGGGGAAUAUUGCACAAUGGGGGAAACCCUGAUGCAGCCCUGCCGCGUGUGUGAAGAAGGCCUUCGGGUUGUAAAGCACUUUCAGCGAGGAGGAAAGGUUGAUGCCUAAUACGUAUCAACUGUGACGUUACUAGCAGAAGAAGCACCGGCUAACUCCGUG
rnacentral:rRNA from 1 species